AACGCGAAGAACCUUACCCAGGCUUGACAUGCAGUAGACCGGUCCAGAAAUGGGCCUUUCCUUCGGGACUGCUGCACAGGUGCUGCAUGGCUGUCGUCAGCUCGUGCCGUGAGGUGUUGGGUUAAGUCCCGCAACGAGCGCAACCCUUAUCAUUAGUUGCCAACAUUUAAGGUGGGAACUCUAAUGAGACUGCCUGGGUUAACCAGGAGGAAGGUGAGGAUGACGUCAAGUCCGCAUGGCCCUUAUGUCUGGGGCUACACACGUGCUACAAUGGUCGGUACAGAAGGCAGCGAAACCGCGAGGUGAAGCAAAUCCCGAAAACCGGCCUCAGUUCAGAUUGUAGUCUGCAACUCGACUACAUGAAGACGGAAUUGCUAGUAAUGGCGAGUCAGCAACAUCGCCGUGAAUACGUUCCCGGGCCUUGUA
rnacentral:rRNA from 1 species